rnacentral:ncRNA from 1 species
CAUAGGUUUGGUCCCAGCCUUUCUAUUGACCACUAGUAAAACUACACAUGCAAGUAUCCGCAUCCCAGUGAGAAUGCCCCCUACAUCAACCCUCAAUGAUAGAGAGGAGCAGGUAUCAAGCACACUACAAAGUAGCUCAUAACGCCUUGCUCAACCACACCCCCACGGGCAACAGCAGUGAUAAAAAUUAAGCAAUGAACGAAAGUUCGACUAAGUUAUACUUAUUAGGGUUGGUAAAUUUCGUGCCAGCCACCGCGGUCAUACGAUUAACCCCAGUCAAUAGAACUACGGCGUAAAACGUGAUUAAGGGCCUUUCUCUCUCAUAAAGUCAAACCCUGGCUACGCCGUAAAAAGCCACAGCCACUGUAAGCUCCACCACGAAAGUGACUUUAAAUUACCUGAAUACACGACAGCUAAGACCCAAACUGGGAUUAGAUACCCCACUAUGCUUGGCCAUAAACCCAAAGAAUCGACCUAACAAGAUUCUUCGCCAGAGUACUACUAGCCAAAGCUUAAAACUCAAGGGACUUGGCGGUGCUUUAUAUCCCUCUAGAGGAGCCUGUUCUAUAAUCGAUAAACCCCGAUAAACCUCACCAACCCUCGCCAACCCAGCCUAUAUACCGCCAUCCUCAGCAAACCCUAAAAAGGAGCCAAAGUAAGCUCAACUACAAUACGUAAAAACGUUAGGUCAAGGUGUAGCCUAUGGGUUGGAAAGAAAUGGGCUACAUUUCCUACUCACAGGAUAUUAUUUAUUCCUAUACGAAGGCCCUUGUGAAAUCAAGGACUAAAGGUGGAUUUAGCAGUAAAUUAAGAAUAGAGUGCUUAAUUGAAUGCUGGCCAUGAAGCACGCACACACCGCCCGUCGCCCUCCUCAAAUACAAAUGGUAAAUCCCUAAUCUUAUUAUUACCCACCAUAGCUACUAGAGGAGAUAAGUCGUAACAAGGUAAGCGUACUGGAAAGUGCGCUUGGAUAACC